rnacentral:rRNA from 1 species
AUUGAACGUUGGCGGCAGGCCUAAUACAUGCAAGUCGAGCGGAAACGAUGGGAGCUUGCUCUCAGGCGUCGAGCGGCGGACGGGUGAGUAACGCGUAGGAAUCUACCCAGUAGCGGGGGAUAGCCCGAGGAAACUCGGAUUAAUACCGCAUACGCCCCACGGGGGAAAGGCCGGGAUCUUCGGACCGGUCACUAUUGGAGGAGCCUGCGUAGGAUUAGCUUGUUGGUGAGGUAAAGGCUCACCAAGGCUACGAUCCUUAGCUGGUCUGAGAGGACGAUCAGCCACACUGGAACUGAGACACGGUCCAGACUCCUACGGGAGGCAGCAGUAGGGAAUAUUGUGCAAUGGGCGAAAGCCUGACACAGCCAUGCCGCGUGUGUGAAGAAGGCCCUAGGGUUGUAAAGCACUUUCAGUAGGGAGGAAUUAGUAGGGUUAAUAGCUCUGCGAAAUGACGUUACCUACAGAAGAAGCACCGGCAAACUCCGUGCCAGCAGCCGCGGUAAUACGGAGGGUGCGAACGUUAAUCGGAAUUACUGGGCGUAAAGCGCGCGUAGGUGGUUUAUUAAGUGGGAUGUGAAAGCCCCGGGCUUAACCUGGGAACUGCAUUCCAAACUGAUGAACUAGAGUACGAUAGAGGGGGGUAGAAUUCAGAGUGUAGCGGUGAAAUGCGUAGAUAUUCUGAGGAAUACCGGUGGCGAAGGCGGCCCCCUGGAUUGAUACUGACAGCUGAG